UGCCAUCGUCGUCGAUCUCUAUCAACUACCCUUGCGACUAUGGCA
rfam:Equine arteritis virus (EAV) RNA genome